rnacentral:rRNA from 1 species
GACGAACGCUGGCGGCGUGCUUAACACAUGCAAGUCGAACGGAAAGGCCCUGCUUUUGUGGGGUGCUCGAGUGGCGAACGGGUGAGUAACACGUGAGUAACCUGCCCUUGACUUUGGGAUAACUUCAGGAAACUGGGGCUAAUACCGGAUAGGAGCUCCUGCUGCAUGGUGGGGGUUGGAAAGUUUCGGCGGUUGGGGAUGGACUCGCGGCUUAUCAGCUUGUUGGUGGGGUAGUGGCUUACCAAGGCUUUGACGGGUAGCCGGCCUGAGAGGGUGACCGGCCACGUUGGGACUGGGAUGCGGCCCAGACUCCUACGGGAGGCAGCAGUGGGGAAUAUUGCACAAUGGGCGGAAGCCUGAUGCAGCAACGCCGCGUGCGGGAUGACGGCCUUCGGGUUGUAAACCGCUUUCGCCUGUGACGAAGCGUGAGUGACGGUAAUGGGUAAAGAAGCACCGGCUAACUACGUG